UACCAGACUCCUACGGGAGGCAGCAGUGGGGAAUAUUGCACAAUGGGGGGAACCCUGAUGCAGCAAUGCCGCGUGAAGGAUGAAGGUUUUCGGAUUGUAAACUUCUUUUGUACGGGACGAAGAAAGUGACGGUACCUGUUUAGAAAGCUCCGGCUAACUACGUGCCAGCAGCCGCGGUAAUACGUAGGGAGCAAGCGUUGUCCGGAAUUACUGGGCGUAAAGGGCGCGUAGGUGGGCGCUUAAGUCAGGUGUGAAAACUCCGGGCUCAACCUGGAGACUGCACUUGAAACUGGGUGUCUUGAGGGCAGGAGAGGAAAGUGGAAUUCCUAGUGUAGCGGUGAAAUGCGUAGAUAUUAGGAGGAACGCCAGUGGCGAAGGCGACUUUCUGGACUGUACCUGACGCUGAGGCGCGAAAGCGUGGGUAGCGAACGGGAUUAGAUACCCGAGUAC
rnacentral:rRNA from 1 species